rnacentral:rRNA from 1 species
UACGUAGGUGGCAAGCGUUGUCCGGAUUUACUGGGCGUAAAGAGCGCGCAGGCGGUCGUUCAAGUCGCGUGUGAAAGCCCCCGGCUCAACUGGGGAGGGUCACGCGAUACUGAUCGACUCGAAGGCAGGAGAGGGUAGUGGAAUUCCCGGUGUAGUAGUGAAAUGCGUAGAUAUCGGGAGGAACAUCAGUGGCGAAGGCGACCACCUGGCCCAACACUGACGCUGAGGUGCGAAAGCGUGGGUAGCAAACAGG